UAAGCAGGUAGUGAAAUUGUGUGGCUCAACCAUACACCCAUUACCUGAACUGCUAAGCUAGAGGAUGAGAGAGGUUAUUGGAAUUCCCAGUGUAGGAGUGAAAUCCGUAGAUAUUGGGAGGAACACCGAUGGCGUAGGCAGAUAACUGGCUCAUUCCUGACACUAAGGCACGAAAGCGUGGGAGCAAACGGGAUUAGAUACCCCGGUAGUCCACGCCGUAAACUAUGGAUGCUA
rnacentral:rRNA from 1 species